rnacentral:lncRNA from 1 species
UCUCUCACUCCCCAGUCCAACUGUCUGGUUCUCUCACACCCCCAGUCCAACUGUCUGGUUCUCUCACUCCCCCAGUCCAACUGUCUGGUUCUCUCACUCCCCAGUCCAACUGUCUGGUUCUCUCACACGCCCAGUCCAACUGUCUGGUUCUCUCACACCCCCAGUCCAACUGUCUGGUUCUCUCACACCCCCAGUCCAACUGUCUAGCCAACAGCCAACAGCUCACACAAUACUUUAUUGGGUUGUUUACUGAGGUCAAGUGUGUGUGUGUGUGUGUGUGUGUGUGUGUGUGUGUGUGUGUGUGUGUGUGUGUGUGUGUGUGUGUGUGUGUGUGUGUGUGUGUGUGUGUGUGUGUGUAGGUGUGCUUAUCGUGCAGGUGUGCGUAUCGUGCCUGCGUGUCCGGUGUGUGUGCGUGUGUGUGUGUGUGUGUGUGUGUAGGUGUGCUUAUCGUGUGUGUGAUAGUUCUGAUAUUGUCGGUGUGAUGCGUGUCGCCGGUAUCUUGAUGGUUGAGAUUAGAUUCUCAGGGGGAGAUAAUGUUGGAAUCUGCUCUCUGUCUGAUCUCUAUACCUACAUACUCUUACCCCUGUCCUACUUGGCAAAGUCUCACAGAUGGACAUUUUGCCAUGACAAAGUGUUUUGCUGGUACAGGUAGGAUUUAAUCAUUUGAUAUUGGUCAUCAGUUCACCGUGCAGUGAGUGUGUUGGCGUUAUCUUUGAUGAUGUCACUAUGUGAGGCUCUUCUCACUACACUCUUUAAAAAAGCAUUGCAAAGGGCUUCUUCUGGUGUCCCCAUAGGAGAACCCUUUUUGGUUCCAGGAAGAACCCUUUUUGAUUCCAGUUUGAACCUUUUUGGGUUCCGGUAGAACCCUUUUGGGUUCCAUGUAGAACUCUCUUUUUCACUCUCUAUUGUUCCUUUUGGCAUGACCUGACUUGGUUUUGUUUAGACAACAAUAGUCAGUCUAUUGUUGAGUUCAGGCAAAGAGUUUAACUGGAUAACUUAGAGGUCACAAGGGCUGCUCGCUGCAUUUGGUUUGAUGUGUGUGUGUUGGAUGGGAGGGGCCUUCUUAAAGGUGUGUUUGUGUACUCAGGUACGAUAGGUUUCAACGGUUCUCCACACACCCAUCUGGCACUGUGUGUCCCUGUGCCCAUAUAUGGCCAUAGCUUCCCUUACCUGGUCCCUCUCUGAGAGUGCGUUGAAUUUCAGUGAGACAGAGAGCCGGGAAGAGACGUGAAAGCGGAAGCAUGUCAUGGAAAGCAGGAUGAAUGAGCGAGGCCUGAGAUCCAUGUUUUUAAUCAGGUGGCUAGGACUCACCCAG